UACGUAGGGGGCAAGCGUUGUCCGGAAUCAUUGGGCGUAAAGAGCGUGUAGGCGGUCCGGUAAGUCGGCUGUGAAAGUCCAGGGCUCAACCCUGGGAUGCCGGUCGAUACUGCCGGACUAGAGUUCGGAAGAGGCGAGUGGAAUUCCCGGUGUAGCGGUGAAAUGCGCAGAUAUCGGGAGGAACACCUAUGGCGAAGGCAGCUCGCUGGGACGUUACUGACGCUGAGGCACGAAAGCUAGGGGAGCAAACAGG
rnacentral:rRNA from 1 species